UGUACGUGACAUUCCUGUUAGUUUAUUUCUUUGGUGGUUGUUUUUCUUCUGUUUUAAUAUUUUUUCUAUUGUUUAUUUAUGUUUUGUCCCUUGUUUCUUUGUUCGAUGGUAAUUUAGUUAUUUAUUUUUUUGUAGAACGUCAGUAAAACAUAAGGGAAAAUCUGCCCUCCGUCCUGUAAUAUUUGGGAAAAUGUUAGGCUUUGUAGGAUAUCUCGUCUUACCUCUCGCGCUCCCUCCUUCCUAGGCAUUGAAGAAGUGCAGGAAAUUCGAAGGUUUAUAAAUGCACUGGUGUGUGUAUGUGUGUGUGAGUGUUAUUGCUAGUUAUCUCUCUCUCUCUCUCUCUCUCUCUCUCUCUCUCUCUCUCUCUCUCUCUGUCAGUAGUUGCACAGGUCUUCAAGGGUAUUUUUACGGUUUUAGUGACAGAUUAACAACAUUUCUACAUUAAUAACAGGAGAAACACCAUUGAAAACCCUGAUAAUCAUCUUUAUAGCUUUGAAAAACAGUCGUGAGGAGAGAGAGAGAGAGAGAGAGAGAGAGAGUAGGAGCAUUUCAGUUGAGCCUAUUCUGCCCUGGUUCGUGUUUGCUGCGGUGACACGGUGCCGCACUGAGUGAAGAUUGCGUUCAUAAUUACUUAUCGGGGGUGGAGUGGGAAAAGGAGAGUCAGGAAGUGAGGAUAUUUAUAUUAUUUGACAUAUUAUUUGAUAGCAUGUCAACUUUUGUGUGUGUGUGUGUGUGUGUGUGUGUGUGUGGGUGGGUGUUGGAUCAGUGACAGGUGGCGCUGGGGAGUUACCACGGCGAGCGGCUGGCUGGCUGCAGUGUUUUGGUCAGCACUGGUCAGUCUUGCCCUACACGCUCUAUUAACCAGUGUUUCCGUCUUCCCGACACCUUCUUCCUGCACCAAGCACCGUCAAGCAUCACCAGAGAGGCACGAGUACGUAAGCUAUCCAACAUCAGAACAGUAUAUGAAUAUGGCAAAUGCUGUUUUGACAUCAUUUCCUGCCAUCCUGAGAAACAGUGAUCUCGAGGAGCAUGAAUUGCAGCUGCAAUGGAAAUUGCGCAUCCAGCGCAAGUUUCAGAAUUCAAGAAAGAGGUAGGAUUCCUCAGUGACUGAGGUGACGUCAAGGAAAAAGAAGAUCCCUUGCAUAGCGCCAAAAGAGACUACGUGUCCACUGAUGUAUGGAGUAAAGGCUUACCUUCCACCAAGGCCCCAUUCAGAAGAUGAUGAGUCAUUAGAGAGACAUAGACAGUGGCUUGCUCUACAUUGGAUGAAGAAAGAUCCCGAGUUAGAUAAGGCUGAACGCCUCAUGCAGUUGACACUCUCUGAGAGACGCAAAAAAAAUAAUCAAUGGGAACAUUCUUGUAGCAGAAAUCCUGAACUUGUACCCGUGGAUUCAGACUUUUGAUGGCAUAAUCAAGGAGUUCCUGAGAUUAGAACCACAAGUGGAUGAACCAGACCCAAGAGUAGCAGUUUUGAAAGGGCUGGAGAAAUAUAGGCUCCCAAUAAUUGCCAUUCUCAAAAAAAGAAAAGCAGUUCCUCUGUAUAUGGAAACCUUACUUGAACUCUAUGACCACGAUGAAAGUCAAUAUGCUUGCUUAGUUAUAUUGGGGUUACUUCACCUGCUUGGAGAAAGGAAAGACUCCAUUUUUACUAAGGUACCAGAAGAAGAACUAAGAACAGGGCAGUCUAGUGUGUAUUUGAUGGUGCACCUGUAGUUGAACCAACAUGUAUUUCUAUGGCUGUAGUCUUAUUGGUAGCAGGGCUUUGUGUUUAACAUUGAACACCCAAAAAAUUGUGAACAUUUCCUCCGUUUCACAACAUCCCAUCUCUUAGGUAUCAAGUAUGACAAAGGUAACACUUCAAAAACAAGAUCUCUACUUGUAAAACUCAAUGAAGUAAAGACAGAAUUGAGCUACAAAAAUGCAUAAAUCUGCUUCCAAAUAUAUUCAACUCCACACAUAAUGCCUCUCUCUCUCUCUCUCUCUCUCUCUCUCUCUCUCUCUCUCUCUCUCUCUCUCUCUCUCUCUCUCUCUCUCUCUCUCUCUCUCUCUCUCUCUCUCUCUCUCUCUCUCUCUCUCUCUCUGUCACACACACACACACACACACACACACACACACACACACACACACACACACUAGUCAAUUACUAGUUAAAGAUUAAUCAGUGAAAUAAAUACAUAACAUUAUGUUAAUAAGUUUUCUAAAAGGGAAAGGAAAUACUUAUACUUUCCCUUCCCCCCA